rnacentral:lncRNA from 1 species
CAGGAAACAAAGGGUAACAGAGGAAAUAUUGAUGAAAAAUAUUUUUCAGAUAAAAUUAAAAUUUCAAAAUCGAUUCAAUGUAACAUGAAAGCUACAAAUCCAAGCUUCUUGUAGAAUCGAAUCUGAGGAGUGAAAUCGAUUUUCCAUUCUUUUACCAAACAUCAUGCAAAAGUGAAAAAUUGCGUUUGAGGGGCUGAAACGCGCGUUUGAUGUGCAGAAACGCGUAUCCAAACAUACGC